rnacentral:rRNA from 1 species
UUUGUUUAUUUGGAAGCAACGCGAAGAACCCUUACCCGGUCUUGACCUUCUUUGGCAAUCCUAGAGAUAGGACGUCCCCUUCGGGGGCAGAGUGACAGGUGGUGCAUGGUUGUUGUCAGCUCGUGUCGUGAGAUGGUGGGUUCAAUCCCGCAACGAGCGCAACCCUUGGUUUUAGUUGCCAGCAUUCAGUUGGGCACUCUAAGGUGACUGCCGGUGACAAACCGGAGGAAGGUGGGGAUGACGUCAAAUCAUCAUGCCCCUUAUGACCUGGGCUACACACGUGCUACAAUGGGCAGAACAAAGGGCAGCGAAACCGCGAGGUUAAGCCAAUCCCACAAAUCUGUUCUCAGUUCGGAUCGCAGUCUGCAACUCGACUGCGUGAAGCUGGAAUCGCUAGUAAUCGCGGAUCAGCAUGCCGCGGUGAAUACGUUCCCGGGCCUUGUACACACCGCCCGUCACACCACGAGAGUCUGUAACACCGGAAGUCGGUGCGGUAA